rnacentral:rRNA from 1 species
UGGGGAAUAUUGGACAAUGGGCGCAAGCCUGAUCCAGCAAUGCCGCGUGUGUGAAGAAGGCCUUCGGGUUGUAAAGCACUUUUAUCAGGAGCGAAAUCUGCAGGGCUAAUGCCCAUGCAGUCUGACGGUACCUGCGGAAUAAGCACCGGCUAACUCCGUGCCAGCAGCCGCGGUAAGGCGGAGGGUGCAAGCGGUAAUCGGAAUUACUGGGCGUAAAGGGUGCGUAGGCGGUUCGUUAAGUCUGUCGUGAAAUCCCCGGGCUCAACCUGGGAAUGGCGAUGGAUACUGGCGAGCUAGAGUGUGUCAGAGGAUGGUGGAAUUCCCGGUGUAGCGGUGAAAUGCGUAGAGAUCGGGAGGAACAUCAGUGGCGAAGGCGGCCAUCUGGGACAACACUGACGCUGAAGCACGAAAGCGUGGGGAGCAAAC